UUUAUAUCAAAAUGUCUUUCCUUUACAUGUUACUAUAGAAACUUCAUUUACACCAAAUCAAGCAGUUGGUCUGCUUUUUGAGAUUUCUGCUCAGAGAAAAGCUUCCCUUUACUAAUUCUCUGGGCCAGCUAUCACUGAUCACAUCAGCAAUGUCCCAUAGCAACAAUAGUCCUUUUUUCCUUUUAAAAAAUUGUUCUUCCUUCUUUUGCUCAUUUCUUCAUGGACAAAGGGUUUACUUUCCUUUCAAGAAGAUAACUGAGACCUUAUUGGCCAGAAAGGAAAAGCCAGUCUCUCAUUGGUUGGAAUGUAUUGCCUCGCCAACCAAUAAGAGGAUGCCAUUUAUCCUUUCCUGACUAGCUGAGAGAGCAGGGUACCCAGAAUGAUUGAAUCUGCCUUAGUUUUGUCCAGGAGCAAAGGACAGGUUCCGAAUUCUGGAACCCAGAACGAGGGGUUUGCUUUAGCCAGUUGAGAUCGCACUUGGUUUCCAUGAAUCAACUCUUCCGCCUAGCUGUUUGUAGCUCACUUGAGCAUAGCCGCGGGCUACAUUGUUCUGUAUUUUCCCAUUUUCUGAUGCAGCCUAAAUCUAUUUCCAAGCCAGUACGGGUUAUUCUCGGGGAUCAGUACAUCAGGGGGUUCAUGGAUCUGAGAUCUCUAGAGACAGAGACUUGGACUUUUAGUGUGAGGGGUUUGGGAAACUUUGGCGGGGGUGGGAUGGAGAAAUAGAAGAGGGAAGUGUCCCCUCACCUGCAGGGAGCAAGUGUCUCAGUGUUUUGGAUUCACUCCACUCAGCCCUGGUGCACUGGGGAAGUUGCACUUUGAGUCUUGGCAGCUGCCAAGGACAGACGGAGACAACGGCCCUCGCACAGGAGCGGAGCAGACGGAUCACUUCCUAGGAAGGGUAUGGGCAGGGAAAGGUGGGGACAGGGGAGCCCGCUGUCCUCUUCAUCUUGGACACACAUUCCGACGACAGCUUGCAGGAGCCUGAACGCUUUUAUAAUUCGUGAAGAAGAUAUAGAGAAACGAGCUACCCAGCUGCUUCCCGUGAGAAAUAAGAUGUCCCUAUGGUUAAAGGAAGUGUGUUCGGGAAGGGGUAAGAAAAUUAUUUCUCCCCAGUUUUGAGCAGAGGCUCUAGGGAAUUCUUAGGUGUAGGAUCAGGGGCAGGCAGGGUGCCAUGGGAAUAUGGACAAAGCAACAGGAGUGGGCACAAAAGUUGGCCUUCCCUACAGGAGUGUCCAGCUGAUGGCAGGUGGUGUGCCAAGGCCCGGAGGAGGUGGCUAGCAAGACCAUGGACAGACCAGCCCUGUCUGGAAGACUAGUGAUUUUGUUGUUGUGUCUGUGUCCAACAACAAGUCCCAGUCUGCCACAUGGUGUUGGCCACGUCAGCGGCUGCAGGGAGUUGGGCUGGGAGGGGAGCCCCACUUCUGGAUAUAUUUUUCCUGCCUUCUAUGUUUCCUAGCAAACACCUCCAGAAACUACCAGACUCGGCCGAGGAUACCUCAGAGGGACUUCUCCAGAAACAAGGACAUUGGCUCUAGCGUGGGACGGGGGACAGGAUGCCUGUCCUCAGGGAGUGGUGGGUUGCCCUGUACCUGCAGACCCUCAUUCACCCUGCAAGCUCCUCCUUCCUGAGAGACCACCACACGAGACACACAGAGGGCAGAUGACAGUGUGGACCAGCACAGGAGCAUGGACUUCUAACCUUAGGGUUCAGGAGCAAGGGGGUCACAGGAUCCUGGCUGAUCUGGAGUAUCUGUGCCUGCGUGUGGGAAGGAAGGUUAUAGUUACAACUUCCCACUUCCAAGAAACAGAAUUUCAGAAGCCUUGCCCCCAGCCUGUGCUUGGAGGUCACCUUGAUGGCAAAAGUAGUCAAUGCCCCACAAAUGUGCUUUAAGUCCAGCACCUGGAAAAGCAGAGGCAGGUGGGUUUUUGUUAAAUUCAAGGCCAGCCUGGUCUACAUAGCAAACCUUUGUCUCAAAAUGGGAGAAAGAAAGAAAGAGAUAGAAC